rnacentral:rRNA from 1 species
GAACUGAAGAGUUUGAUCCUGGCUCAGAUUGAACGCUGGCGGGAGCUUUACACAUGCAAGUCGGACGGCAGCACGGGCUUCGGCCUGGUGGCGAGUGGCGAACGGGUGAGUAAUGUAUCGGAACGUGCCCAGUAGCGGGGGAUAACUACGCGAAAGCGUGGCUAAUACCGCAUACGCCCUACGGGGGAAAGCGGGGGACCUUCGGGCCUCGCACUAUUGGAGCGGCCGAUAUCGGAUUUAGCUAGUUGGUGGGGUAACGGCCUACCAAGGCGACGAUCCGUAGCUGGUUUGAGAGGACGACCAGCCACACUGGGACUGAGACACGGCCCAGACUCCUACGGGAGGCAGCAGUGGGGAAUUUUGGACAAUGGGGGCAACCCUGAUCCAGCCAUCCCGCGUGUGCGAUGAAGGCCUUCGGGUUGUAAAGCACUUUUGGCAGGAAAGAAACGGCACGGGCUAAUAUCCUGUGCAACUGACGGUACCUGCAGAAUAAGCACCGGCUAACUACGUGCCAGCAGCCGCGGUAAUACGUAGGGUGCAAGCGUUAAUCGGAAUUACUGGGCGUAAAGCGUGCGCAGGCGGUUCGGAAAGAAAGAUGUGAAAUCCCAGGGCUUAACCUUGGAACUGCAUUUUUAACUACCGGGCUAGAGUGUGUCAGAGGGAGGUGGAAUUCCGCGUGUAGCAGUGAAAUGCGUAGAUAUGCGGAGGAACACCGAUGGCGAAGGCAGCCUCCUGGGAUAACACUGACGCUCAUGCACGAAAGUGUGGGGAGCAAACAGGAUUAGAUACCCUGGUAGUCCACGCCCUAAACGAUGUCAACUAGCUGUUGGGGCCUUCGGGCCUUGGUAGCGCAGCUAACGCGUGAAGUUGACCGCCUGGGGAGUACGGUCGCAAGAUUAAAACUCAAAGGAAUUGACGGGGACCCGCACAAGCGGUGGAUGAUGUGGAUUAAUUCGAUGCAACGCGAAAAACCUUACCUACCCUUGACAUGUCUGGAAUCCCGAAGAGAUUUGGGAGUGCUCGCAAGAGAACCGGAACACGUGCUGCAUGGCUGUCGUCAGCUCGUGUCGUGAGAUGUUGGGUUAAGUCCCGCAACGAGCGCAACCCUUGUCAUUAGUUGCUACGAAAGGGCACUCUAAUGAGACUGCCGGUGACAAACCGGAGGAAGGUGGGGAUGACGUCAAGUCCUCAUGGCCCUUAUGGGUAGGGCUUCACACGUCAUACAAUGGUCGGGACAGAGGGUUGCCAACCCGCGAGGGGGAGCCAAUCCCAGAAACCCGGUCGUAGUCCGGAUCGCAGUCUGCAACUCGACUGCGUGAAGUCGGAAUCGCUAGUAAUCGCGGAUCAGCAUGUCGCGGUGAAUACGUUCCCGGGUCUUGUACACACCGCCCGUCACACCAUGGGAGUGGGUUUUACCAGAAGUAGUUAGCCUAACCGCAAGGGGGGCGAUUACCACGGUAGGAUUCAUGACUGGGGUGAAGUCGUAACAAGGUAGCCGUAUCGGAAGGUGCGGCUGGAUCACCUCCUUU